UACGAAGGGGGCUAGCGUUGUUCGGAUUUACUGGGCGUAAAGCGCACGUAGGCGGAUUGGUCAGUUAGGGGUGAAAUCCUGGAGCUCAACUUCAGAACUGCCUUUAAUACUGCCAGUCUCGAGUCCGGAAGAGGUAAGUGGAACUCCUAGUGUAGAGGUGGAAUUCGUAGAUAUUAGGAAGAACACCAGUGGCGAAGGCGGCUUACUGGUCCGGUACUGACGCUGAGGUGCGAAAGCGUGGGGAGCAAACAGG
rnacentral:rRNA from 1 species